GAGUUUGAUUAUGGCUCAGGAUGAACGCUAGCGAAAUGCCUAACACAUGCAAGUCGAACAGAUCUUGCGCUGUACUUGUACAGAGUAAGAUUAGUGGCAAACGAGCGAGUAACGCGUGCUUAACCUGCCCCGAAGAUGGGUAUAACUGCAGAGAUGUAGCUAAUUCCCAAUAUGCUCACGAUGGUGAAAUCCCAAUGUGAGGAAAGAUUUAUCGCUUCGGGAGGGGGGUGCGUCCUAUCAGGUAGUUGGUAAGGUAACGGCUUACCAAGCCUAUGACGGGUAACCGGUCUGAGAUGAUGUCCGGUCGCGAUGGGACUGAGAUACGGCCCAUACUCCUACGGGAGGCAGCAGUGGGGAAUCUUGCACAAUGGACGAAAGUCUGAUGCAGCAAUUUCGCGUGAAGGAUGAAGCAUUACGGUGUGUAAACUUCUUUUUUGGAGGAAGACGAAUGACGG
rnacentral:rRNA from 1 species